GAGCAGGGAGGUGGCUGUGCUUUGCCUUCGCUUAUGAAGUACCCUGUUAGCUCAGUAAUUACUGUUGCCUUGGCUGUUUGGUUGGACCAUCCCUGCAAGGCCACUCUGCCCUGCUCCUCUCUGCCUCCAGCAGUGCUAUUAAGGGAAGGAAGGAGCUGUGAAUCCCCACAGUCUUUGGUUGCCUGCAGUGGACCAGUUCUCCAGCAGCUGUGAAUCUGCCCAGCUCCACUGAAGACAGUAGAGCCUCCUUACUCCAGGUAG